GGGGGUAUAGCUCAGUUGGCAGAGUGCUUGCUUUGCAAGGCCCUGGGUUCAAUCCUUAGCACCACCA
rnacentral:tRNA from 1 species